rnacentral:rRNA from 1 species
AGUGAACGCUGGCGGUAGGCCUAACACAUGCAAGUCGAACGGCAGCACAGUAAGAGCUUGCUCUUACGGGUGGCGAGUGGCGGACGGGUGAGGAAUACAUCGGAAUCUACUUUUUCGUGGGGGAUAACGUAGGGAAACUUACGCUAAUACCGCAUACGACCUACGGGUGAAAGCAGGGGAUCUUCGGACCUUGCGCGAUUGAAUGAGCCGAUGUCGGAUUAGCUAGUUGGCGGGGUAAAGGCCCACCAAGGCGACGAUCCGUAGCUGGUCUGAGAGGAUGAUCAGCCACACUGGAACUGAGACACGGCCCAGACUCCUACGGGAGGCAGCAGUGGGGAAUAUUGGACAAUGGGCGCAAGCCUGAUCCAGCCAUACCGCGUGGAUGAAGAAGGCCUUCGGGUUGUAAAGCCCUUUUGUUGGGAAAGAAAAGCAGCAGGUUAAUACCCCGCUGUUCUGACGGUACCCAAAGAAUAAGCACCGGCUAACUUCGUG